CCACCCCUUUUAGGCGAUCCUUUGCCAGGAGGGUACGUGCCACUCUCGCCAUCUCUCCACUCCCAGUGCGCGAUUGUCUUUUCAUGUAUGGAAUAGCCGGGUUCAAGCUUACCCUGUCCCAUAUCCAGGGCAUGUGGCUAGUUAAGAUAGUCCUUGAUCAUACAGGCCUACAUACGCAUCCAAUCUUUAAUUAACCUGGGUAGAACAUCACCUGUUCCAAGCCCAAGUCCCGAUUUAAGUACUUCCAUCCUUAGGAUUGUUUGUGUUCCUUAGGAUGAAAAGAGCACAUUAUAGGGAACUUUGCAGUAAGAUCCCACCAUGCUCCCAAUGAAAAUAUUCUUGCAGGUAGAAGCCAUCCUUCCUCAGGAUAACCCCUGAGCUACGCAUUAAUGCAAAAGACAACCUCUAUCCACAAGAUCUAAGCAGGGCUAAGCAUUUUAGUAAAUCAUAUUUUGAUACUUCACCAGAAGUAUCUAUAAAGGUAUGGAUAUCAAGGAAGGCAAUGCAUCAAAGGGUUUCAAGCAACUCCUAUAAACCUAAUGCACAUUUCACUAGACUUAAAGUGUGCAAAAAUUAUUUAAAAACACAAGGAAGGGGUUGCAUGUACCGGGGCUUGCCUGGGUAACACUAGGUUGGUGUUGUUAGGUGACGUCCACUUGACGACCAUCCUUUGUCCUGGCACACACUCGUUCAGAUUAUCCAUCUUCCGGUUCGUCCAUCAACAUCAUCUUGCGGAUUAGCCCGCGCUUGGGGUCGACUUGGGUUAUCUUCCACAUUACGCAGUCAAUAAACGUACCUAAAUGAUUUGCAUAAUGCACAUGAAUGCAUAGCACUGACUUCACUGUACAACUAAAAUUCUUCGCAUAAAAUGCCGAUAGCGCCUACCGGCAAGGCACUAAAAUUACUAAGCAAAUAAAUUCAACUUACCAGCAUCAAACGUGACUCACUACUCGCGAGAAUGCCGAUAAAUCCUGGCUCGAGCUUGUCAUUGAACACCAUACAGGGUAAGUCUGAUGCAGCGCUGCGUGGUGGAGAUCGACAGGCGGGUGUCGACGAGUGCAUGGAGUCUUAUAGAACCAUGAUGCUGAAGAUGGCGUGGUAACGAGUGAACACGUGGUCGAGUGUCGACAAGGUAAAACGGGUUCAAUGGCUCGACGACAAACGAGAGCACACAUGAAGCCCGAUGGACGAAGAGCGAGCGUGACGUAGUAACAACGAGCAGGCGCGCGAGUGUUAACGUGAGCCAGUGGCAAGCACGAAUGCUGAGGUACAACCAACAACAUUCAGCGAGCACGCAGCGAAGCACAAAAUAGCGAGGACAGUCGAAUCGGCAACAGAGCGUUGGCGAACUCGACGAACACGACCACGGUCGCGUGCGGGCGCGGAUAGGAUAACGACAGCUAACGAGUUAGAGCACCAGCGAGUAGCCGACGCGGGUGAGCAAAGCAGGCAGGACACCGGGCGUCGCGGCGAGCUAGAAAAAGAUUCGGCGCGCGAGCUCGACGCGCACGGAUUUUUGUUUCGUUGCUCGACGCACGACGUGUGGACAGACGGUAAGCAGGGACACGCGGCAAAAUCUCGGGCGGGACGCAAGGGACUUCGCGAUGGGCAGCGAGGCUCGUAAGGAAGACAGGGAAGGCGCGGGCCAGGAGCACCAGGGACGACCAGGCGGCACACGCACAUCCAGCUCCACAGAACUCAGUGCCAUGGGGAAGAUGGAGCAGAGGGGUGCUGGCCUACUGCAGGAAAGGGAGGGCUCCAUCUAUGGAAGAAGCUGGAGCCGAGCAGGAAAGGCGAGGCACUGCGAGCUGCAGCUGGGCACGACGAGCAGCACAGCAAGGGAAAGGGGCGAGCUUCCGCAGGGAAGCCGCGCGCCGGAAGCUCCACGGCUGGGCAUGGCGGCCAUGGGCAGGGAACUCGUGGAAGAGGGAGCAGCGGCGUGCAGAAGCUCGGCGUGCAGGGGGAUCCGAGCUGAAGCUGAGCACGCGCCAUGGGGAACUCGUCGGCAGGGCAGAGAGAGCUGGAGGCAUGGCUUGCUGGGAGAUGGAGAGAAGGAAACGAGCUCGGCUGGCUAGGGUUGGGGCUCGGCAGGGGAGCCGCCAUGGGAGCAGGCAAAGGGCGAGCAGGACGCGCCACAGGAGAGCUGGAAGGAGCAGAGACGCCCGCGGAAGAUGACCAGGCAGGAUAUUUGAAGAGUCCUAGGGGCGGCGCCGUGAGGAGAUAAACACCGGCAACCAGGAUUUUUGCAAGCCAAAGCGGCGCAGAGGAUAACACCGGCGAGCUGGAGGGAGAAGAACUGUUGCCGGCGUGCGGCAGAGGAAGAUGCUGAGCGCUGAAAUAUCCAGGGAGUAGAGCGGCGGCUGCAAAAAUCCAACAGAGAGAGAGCGGAUCAGGCUGAGGGAGAAGUUCGGCUGGGUAAUAAGAAACUGUGUUCAGCGGCAGGAUUUUUCAGAAAACGGCGGCAGGAGAGAACGACCAUGAACAAAAAUCUACGGGAGGCAGACGAGCGAAGAAAUAUCAGGGAGAGAAGAGAUUGACGUGAGCAGAUUUUUGUUUUUUUAAUUUUCCCUUCCCAUUCUUUUUAAUAAUGAAAAUGGUAGACAUUUCGGAAUGAGAAUUUUCAAUGAUCACUAAAGGGUCGAUAGUACGGGUAACACGGUUUUGAUUUAGCGAAUACUUGGAAUCAGAUGAAUUUGUACCCGGCAUUUAUAUCCAAAGUUUUGGAUCGGGCAAGAAACGACAGACCGAAAUAAACUGAUUUCGGCACUGAUAAUUUGUUUGACGUGAUUCGACCGAAAUUAGCCGAAACAAUGUCUGCGAACGUAUACACGAUUUUAUCUUCGAAACAGCAUGCUGAAAAAUAAAUUGGAUCUUAACCUCGCGCAAGACUUCGCGCGAUCCAGAUUAUUCUGCCCCGAACAUUUUAGUCGUCGAGUUCAAAUUAAUUUGUUCAGGAUAAAAAUCGUCCAAGUGGUUCGGGCUUUCGAAUUCGUAUUCGCGCGAGCGAUGAAUUUUAAAUAAUCACCGGACGCACCGAUUUUCGGAACAACUCUGUUCUGAACAUCACGAAAAUUUUAGGAGAGCCCGGACAGAUAAAAAUGAAAACGACGUCGCACUCGCGACAGACGAAACAGAUGCGAUAUUAAAAUCGCGAUAGGCAAAAAUAAUUAGACCUUAGUGUCCGUCUUAUUUACUGAUAUCACGUGCUUAAAUCCGUACUCGUUGUCGAGCAGAAUAUAAACACCUGGGGUGUUACAGCCCUCCCCCUUAAAAGAAUCUCGUCCCGAGAUUCAGCGAAAGACUUUUAAGGGUAGAGAAGCAUGUACCCCAUAUCCAUAUCAGCGAUAAGCAUAAGACAGUCCUGAACGAAGACGAGUGUCUCAGAAUGUUGUUUCUCUAGUGGACAUAACAUGUAUUGACAUAAGCCAAUUUAGAAAUGUCCAUUAGUAGAGACAGUAUCUACCAGAAGAACACAUAGGGUUCCAGGUGUGCAGUUCGCUUUUUCUGAUGAUAUUGUACUAUCUGAGUCUGUUGAGCAAGCGGUGGAUAUGCGACUUUACCUAAACAGAAUCAGAUGCAACCUCUUGAGUGAAACACACAAAAAGAGGUUUACCAACAAGUGGUCACGGUAAGCUCGUAGCACACAAGACGAGUGUGGAUGUUGAAUACUGUCGCGGUUAACAUGUGGCUAACCUGAGAAUUCAAGUCCACGAAAGAGGGUAUAGAUUCAAGAGAAUCACCAGCGGAGGGGUUUGUAGAUACGGACUUUACCGUCAGUCCAUUUUAUCCAGCACUAGGCAUGGCUCGACAUGAUCACACAUGCAGGAAAAGCACACGUGAGGCGGUCGAGGCAUGACUAGAGCGAUGAUUAGGUGGUUAUUAGUCGAUUUAACUUGAUUUUUGUAAGAACUUUCUUAGGAUGGGUUGAACCAAAGUGGGUUUAGACAACUCGAUAAAUCGAUCCCUAAACUCAACCUUUGAUCACAAUACAGUUACAAGUUAAUAAAACCAACUCGUUGAACUACUUUUGACAUUGAGCAAGUACUCUCAGUACCAUCGGUAAGCCAACGGUCGAGAGUUUACAUUUGCUAAAAAGAGGUCAUGCAUUUGGGUAGAAAUCCAUUUGGCCAUGGGGUUCAUCUGUUUCUUCAUGCGAGAUGAAUUAUCCACUUGGUCAGGGAAUACAUGGAUUAAAUAAAAGAGCGAAUGAACAAACUCCUGCAUCUCAGCAGCAGGGAAAGCCAAUCUCCAUUUUGAGAGCUAAUCAGUUGUCUUCUAACACUAAAAAGCUUCAAGGAUUCGCCUUUACACAAAGGAUGCAAAGGGAACUUGGAUGUGUAGUCACUACCAAGAUCAAAAGAAAAGAGACCACACCUGAAAGUGGUAUGCCCUUUUGAUCCAACAAAGAUGAUAGAUGUUGCUUGAUUAUUUCGAUAAACAACACAAAAAUCGUUUCAAGGAAGGGAUCUACGGAAGAUAACAUAUUAGGGUAGUUCCAUAAUGGAUCAUGACCAGAGACCUUGAUACCAGCAUCCGAUGAGUAGCAUAAUCCUAUGUGCACAUUCACAGGAGGCUCUCAGUUUCGCUGCGGCACCAUAAGUCAUUAAUCAUGACACCAUUACUGAACUGGUACCAACAUAGAAUCCCACGUAGCAAAAACAGAUUGUGCCAAGAUAACCCAUUGAUAUAGUCUCAUAAUGGAUCACAACUACUAACUGUGAUACCAGCGCGUGCCGAGCAGCACAACCGUGUGUCGAUCGUCCAUAGGAGGCCCUCGGUUUCGUCACGGCACCAUCGAUUUUAGUCACAACACCAUUACCAGACGUAACCAAUAAGAAAUCUCACGCCACACCAAUAGGUUGAGCAAGGAUGACAAUAUACACAAUAGACUCCACUUGUAAUAAUGGUUACAAGUAGAGAACCAAAUAGAUCAUGACCCGAUGAAACGAACAAGGCAUGGCCAUAACCUAAACUUGAUGAAAGGAGUAUGAUGGGAGACUGUUAAUUCAGACCCAAGCAUAUUUCUAUGCCCAUCAUAGAGAUUACAAGAUCAAGGAUUAGUAUCAGAUUAGAUACAGAGGGAAAACAAUCAAAAGAUUUAAUUGGUAUGCCUUCGAUAGAUGUGGGGAAACCAAAGGCAUCAAAUUCAAGAAAAUGAGUGGACAUGUCUUUCCUAGGUUAGGUUGAUAAAACAACAUGAUGAUUCUUAAGAACAGGCAAACUAGAUCAGGGACAUCAGCUUGUGCCAAUCGAACAAGGGCAUGGUCUAAGAUGGAAAUAUGACUCAAGAUUCUUAUUUUAAGCCUGAGUACACUUUAGGUUCAGCAAAGAAAUUAUCUAAGCCUUUAUUUGUAUAAGUUUGGGUCAAGGAGGGGUAACGGAAAAAUCAACUUUGGUCAUGGUUCACCAACUAAGAACAUGGCCAAGAUUUGGGUUUAGGCAAACAAGUCACUAACCUUCUAUCGACGCAUUAAGCACAAGAGCACAUAUAUAGCAUCUAAACAUAAUACCUAAGGAACGGAGAACAACUAUUUUAUCGAUGUUCAUAAUUCAACAUUACACCAGAUUAUCUACAAUCACUGUUUUCUAGAAUAAGGAUGAGAGAAGCAUUUGGAUGUAUAUGUGACAAACAUGAUGCAACAAUCAGGAUGCAUGCUCGUCCUACACGUCCUCACUGAUUUUUGCCAACAUAAUGUGGCAAUAACAUUCUAUACCGGUGGCAUACUUACGAUUCUCACGGUAUUUUAGCUACACAUACGUUUUCGAGGUUAGUGUACCUGCAGAAAAAUCCAUCACAACCCAAUUUCCCAAUGAUGCAAUUCACACAUGACAGUUUAUCACAGUUUAUACUCAAUAUAUUUCUAUAUGGAGGCCAGCUCUUCAUUAAGCGCUGAGCCACGCAUAGGCGCCGUUGCCACACUUUAACCAUAGGGCAACUCAUUAUGGUAACUCACCUUCUUACCUGAGCGUAGAUGCGUCGUUACAAGUACAUUAUACUUCUCAGUAUUCCCAUGUCUGUGUACCCAUACACAUCCAUGGGGUACUGAAUUCCCAAAAAAAUAAAUACUCCAUAUCGCAGCUUUCAUAUAUACAUAUGUGGAACAUGUAUAUAAUCAAGCGCUACAAUCAAGCACUCCCCUAGACCGACGAUUGUUCGGUCAUGCUCUCACAUCUCACCUUACCUUGAGCGUCGAUCCAUUCAAAACUGAAUGGCCUCAAAAAUAACAAUACACAUGUAUGCAAUACCCACCCGAUUGUGGGUUAGUGGUUUUGAACUAAGCCACCUGAUAGUCCUUAACUUAGGGCUUAAUAGAGGAUGUCGCUAGCAUUAUAGUUUUUCAAAGCUAUUUUUCAAAACCAAACAAUGUGUUUAGUUGAAAAUAGGUUUUCUAAAACCAAAACUUUUGUGUGUAUGUGACUGUAUAUACUUAAUCCUGCUCCGAUACCAGCUGUGGCAGAACCUCCCAAGUUAUUGGGCCCACAUGCAGCUGUCCUUGUCUCAAAGACCUCAGACGGCUAUGCAUGUGCACCAGAUAACUUAACAUGAUCUGUACGAGUGCCCCAAGGACAUCGGAUAAACCACUUACAACCAGAACCGCAAGAUUAAGUAAUACAAAUCACACACAUCAACAUUUUUGCAGCGGAAAUCUUAUUACCAAGUUUUACAAGUUACAAAAAUUUUACUUUGUACUUGAUCGGAGUGAUUACAAAGGUGAUUCCAAGAAAUAACUUUAAACUUUUAUAAAUUAUUUAUAAGUUUGAAAUAUAUGCUAGCUCAAGUGACCAUCCUCAAUAAGAAGGUAAAGACAGGGUAUACUUAUAUAAGAAGGCCGAGCCCACCGGCACUUAACACCAUCACAGCAACACAAAACUAUAACCUGAAAAACAACAGGGAAUAAAACCCUGAGUAUGGAAUUACUCAGCAAGACUUACCCGACUAAAGAAAAGACUCUCAAGGGUAUGCUGGAUUUGAGAAUCAAGGAGAGGCUUUAGCAAGAAUCAACUUAGAUACUUUUGCAGAAAUAGCUUACUAAAGUGAGUCCUUACUUUCAAUAUUUUAACGCCAGAUUAAAUAUUAAUAGACUCUGUUUGCAUCUGGUCUAAUUUCACCAUCUCAUCAAUACAACAUCAUUUUUAUUCAUGAGGCUCACAUCCUGACUUAGGUUGUAGGGCAGCGAUCAAGUCUCCACUCUCCGGGGAUAUAACGGCGAUCCGAAUCGAUUUACUCAGCUGAGGAUCUCUAACCACACGACAUAUGUAGCACUUAACCCUUGCAUAUGUCAACCGUUCCCACGGAUCCUCCACUACAUGAACAGGUCCACGCCACCCGAGAGCACACCACCCCUUUUAGGCGAUCCUUUGCCAGGAGGGUACGUGCCACUCUCGCCAUCUCUCCACUCCCAGUGCGCGAUUGUCUUUUCAUGUAUGGAAUAGCCGGGUUCAAGCUUACCCUGUCCCAUAUCCAGAGCAUGUGGCUAGUUAAGAUAGUCCUUGAUCAUACAGGCCUACAUACGCAUCCAAUCCUUAAUUAACCUGGGUAGAACAUCACCUGUUCCAAGCCCAAGUCCCGAUUUAAGUACUUCCAUCCUUAGGAUUGUUUGUGUUCCUUAGGAUGAAAAGUGCACAUUAUAGGGAACUUUGCAGUAUGAUCCCACCAUGCUCCCAAUGAAAAUAUUCUUGCAGGUAGAAGCCAUCCUUCCUAAGGAUAACCCCUGAGCUACGCAUUAAUGCAAAAGACAACCUCUAUCCACAAGAUCUAAGCAGGGCUAAGCAUUUUUGUAAAUCAUAUUUUGAUACUUCACCAGAAGUAUCUAUAAAGGUAUGGAUAUCAAGGAAGGCAAUGCAUCAAAGGGUUUCAAGCAACUCCUAUAAACCUAAUGCACAUUUCACUAGACUUAAAGUGUGCAAAAAUUAUUUAAAAACACAAGGAAGGGGUUGCAUGCACCAGGGCUUGCCUGGGUAACACUAGGUUAGUGUUGUUAGGUGACGUCCAC
rnacentral:lncRNA from 1 species